rnacentral:rRNA from 1 species
UAUUUUAAUUUUUUUCCAGCCGCCGCGGUAAUACGUAGGGGGCAAGCGUUAUCCGGAUUUACUGGGUGUAAAGGGAGCGUAGACGGAUUAGCAAGUCUGAUGUGAAAGGCAGGGGCUCAACCCCUGGACUGCAUUGGAAACUGCCAGUCUUGAGUGCCGGAGAGGUAAGCGGAAUUCCUAGUGUAGCGGUGAAAUGCGUAGAUAUUAGGAGGAACACCAGUGGCGAAGGCGGCUUACUGGACGGCAACUGACGUUGAGGCUCGAAAGCGUGGGGAGCAAACAGG